AAAAGGAGGAAUUAAACUGAUUAGUCACCCAUAAGUAUUAACAGAUCUUUGAAAGGACACUGUAGGACUUCUUUGUGGUGCUCCCAUCAGCAGCACAAAGGAAUAGAUGAAGAAUUUGUGAAGAGCAGGUCAAGGAAGGGGAUUCUCCCCCUCUACUCCACUUCUGUGAGACCUCACCUAGAGUACUGCAUCCAGCUCUCAGCCCCCAACAUAGGAAGGAUGUGCACCUGUUGGAGCAAGUCCAGAGAAGGCCACAAAGAUGCUCAGAGGGCUGGAGCACCUCUCAUUUGGAGACAGGCUGAGAGAGCUGGGCUUGUCGAGCCUGGAGAAGAGAAGGCUCUGGCAGACCUUAGAGAAGCCUUCCAGUACCUAAAGGGGCUGACAAGAAAGCUGGAGAGGGGCUUUCUUCAAGGGCCUCUAGGGACAGGACAAGGGGGAAUGGCUUUAACUGGCAGAGGGGAGACUUAGAUAUCGGGCAGAAGUUCUCCCCUGUGAGGGUGGUAAGGCACUGGAAGAGGUUGCCCAGAGAUGCUGCGGGUGCCCCAUCCUUGGCAGUGUUCAAGGCCAGGCUGGACAGGGCUUUGAACAACCUGGUCUAGUGGAAGGUGUCCCUGCCCAUGGCAAGGGGGUUCGAACUAGAUGAUCUUUAAGGUCCCUUCCAACCCAAACCGUUCUAUGA